GAAAUACUCUGGGUUGCCUACUUUUGAAAAUGGUAUGCCAUGAUAGUGGAAAUGUUAUUACCCAGGCUGCCAUGCUCUCUCAAAGGCAAGAUAGGCCCAGAAAAUCGCUUUGCCAAUUUUCAAUGUGUAAAACAAAAAUGGACAAGCGUAUAUUUGACCCUGUAACUUUCCAAAACCCCAUAAAACCAAUACAUGGUGGGACAGAACUAGGAGUGUUUCAGGGCAGUAAAC